rnacentral:rRNA from 1 species
ACGGGGGCAGCAGUGGGGAAUAUUGGUCAAUGGUCGGAAGACUGAACCAGCCAAGUCGCGUGCAGGAAGACGGUCCUAUGGAUUGUAAACUGCUUUUGUACGGGAAUAAAGUGAGGGACGUGUCCCUUUUGGAAUGUACCGGAAGAAUAAGGGUCGGCUAACUCCGUGCCAGCAGCCGCGGUAAUACGGAGGACCCGAGCGUUAUCCGGAUUUAUUGGGUUUAAAGGGUGCGCAGGCGGAGGAUUAAGUCAGCGGUGAAAUUUUCAUGCUCAACCUGAAAGCUGCCAUUGAUACUGGUCCCCUUGAGAGAUGUCGAGGAUGGCGGAAUGUGAUGUGUAGCGGUGAAAUGCUUAGAUAUGUCACAGAACACCGAUUGGGAAGGCAGCUGUCCAGAGAUCUUCUGACGCUCAGGCACGAAAGCAUGGGUAUCAAACAGGAUUAGAUACCCUGGUA